rnacentral:rRNA from 1 species
UACAGAGGGUGCGAGCGUUGUCCGGAUUUACUGGGCGUAAAGAGCGCGCAGGCGGUCGUUCAAGUCGCGUGUGAAAGCCCCCGGCUCAACUGGGGAGGGUCACGCGAUACUGAUCGACUCGAAGGCAGGAGAGGGUAGUGGAAUUCCCGGUGUAGUGGUGAAAUGCGUAGAUAUCGGGAGGAACACCAGUGGCGAAGGCGACUACCUGGCCUGUUCUUGACGCUGAGGCGCGAAAGCUAGGGGAGCAAACGGG